UCAGCUGUAGCAAUCAGUUCACACUAUUCACCUGUUCUCCACCUCACCUGCACCUAUUUCAGCUCUUCCCGUUCAUUCACUCCCUGCCGGAUCAUAGAUUCACAUUCCCUCAUGGACUCUGUUCCCACCUGGACUCUGCUUUUUGGACUCUGUUUCUUGGACUCUGUUUCUGGAUUCUGCUUUUGGACUCAGCUUUGGACUCUGUUUUCCCCUUCCGUUCAGUUCCCCCAUUUUUUGAUCAGAUUAUCUUAUACUGAAGAAGAGCAGAAUAAUCUGACAGGAACUGAGGGAGGAAACAUCACUCUGCCUGAUCCUGUACUGGAGAGAGGAUAUCUGUUAUAUGGAGGAAAUGUUAUUGCUCAGGUGAUAAACAGAGUACUCAUCAUAGAUGAGGGCAUUUAUAUUAACAAACUUCACUGGAACAAUAACUCUGGACUCUUCACAAUCACAGACCUGCAGAAGAGAGACUCUGGGAUUUAUAAAAUUGACUCUAAAAAAGGAGUAAUUUCUACUAAAUCCAUUUAUAGCCUCACAGUUUACGCAGCACGCAUGUGGCUCCAUGAUGACAUCAUCCGUCCUUUCCAGUGACCAAACCACAGGUCAUGUGAGGUCACUGAUGAGCAGCAUCACGUGUUAAACCUUCACGUUUUCACCAUGAAGCCGACCAGCGUGUGAUUAACACCUGAGACACACCUGAGACGUACUCUUGUAUCACAGUGGACACUAAAUUAGUGUUUUAAAGUCCUUUCUCUGCAUCCUUACAGACUCUGUAGCGCCUCCUGCUGUCCAAACACUGAGUGUGAGCUCUGACAGCUGCUAUCUGCUGUGUGCUGUGGACAAAGCUGCAGAGAUCACACUGUGGUGGUACAAAGAUGAGGAGGUGGUGAACCAGAGCAGCUCUGCUGGAUCUCUGCCUCUCACUGUGACCAAACAGGACUUCAGCUCCUCUUACAGAUGUGUGGCUGGAAACCCUGCAGAAGAAAGGACUCUUCUAGUGGAUCUUCAGACGUUCUGUGGCGAGAGCUUCACUGGAGUGCAGAACAACACAGAAUCAAGACAUGGUUGGAUCAUAAUUGGAGUCUCUACUGGAUGUGCUGCACUUACAAUUGUGACAGUCGCUGCAUUUUUAAUCAGGUGGACGUGUUUCAGCACCGUAGAGAGAAACGGCAGAGUCUCUAGACUCAACAACAGAAGUGGAGUACACUGGAGUAAAUAUCUGUGCUGACGGACACAGUCAGGGAGGAAAUUUCCCGGAUUCACCAGGAUCUGUUGAGCAGCUGUUGGUUUAUCACAUGAUAGAUCCAGACUCGGAAGGUCACGUCUGACAGCAAACAACACAGAAUCAGUGAUGGUGUUGAUGUCUCCUCAUUUAUACUGUUAGUCUGCCAAAGAAAGCAGUAAGUAUACAGUAUUCUCCUGAUGCCACAGUGAACCAGCUGGUAGCUUCUGAUGCCAUGUUCACAAAUCAUUUACUGCCUAGUCGAUCAUUACAGACUCAUUGUCUUCCUCAGAACUUCAGCUGAAGGUAUCUGGAUGUCUUUUCUGGUUCUUAUUUCAUCCAAGAGGCUUCUACAGUUCUAGUUAAUACAGUUCUUUAUUCUCUCCAUUAAAUCACGUGACUCACAGCCACAUAUUUUAAACCCAGUGAAGGUUUCUGUAGACUGAAGCUCAGCUGAGCUGUGAGAUCUUCAGUGUCAUUAAACCUCCACAUGGACAAAGUGGAACUCAGAACGUUGAACCUCUACAGAGGUAAUCAGAGCACUGAGCUGCUGGUUCACACAUGUGGACGACACUUCCAUCUAAACCAAAGAAGUGGAAACUUUUACAGAAAAUAUCAGCUCUGGGUAGAAACAUGAAGUCCAUCAGGUUCAGGUUGGCUCCAUCUCCUCAGGACAGAGGUAGGAGGUCAUGUUCACUGUCGUACAGCUUCUCUCUGGUUUCAGUUCUCUAAUGAUUGGACUCUUUCUCUUAAUCCCUGUCCGUUUGCUCAGAUGGUCUUCAUACAUCUUCCUCUACCUGCCUCUUGUUUUCUUUCUGUUCAUGCUGCCUUCAGUAAAUAAAUGCAACAAUUCAUUGUUUCUCGACAUGUGACCACAACACGAGAUCAUUCUUGACUUGAUGGCGUCCAUUAACCUGGUUUCCAGAAGCUUUGCGUUGCUGAUCUUUCUUGUCCAGCUGAUGUUUAACGUUCUUCUCCAGCACCACAACUCAAAUAUUUCCAGUCUUUUUGUCACUUCUUUGUUCAGUGUCCCAGUUUCUGAAGAACCGACCAGACAGCACAGAACCAAUGGCUUCCUGGUUGUUGUUGUAAACCUGUCAGAGCCAUCAAGGAGGAGUUCCACAGGAUUGCAGGAUUUCCCAGUGUGAUUGGCUGCAUAGAUGACACACACAUCCCCAUCAAAGCUCCCAAAUAUAAUGAAGCUGAUUAUGUGAAUAGGAAGUCCAUUCACAGCAUAAAUGUGCAGAUCAUAUGUGAUGCUGCAUACAUCAUUUCCAAUGUGGAGGCCAAGUGGCCUGGGUCUGUUCAUGACUCGAGGAUUUAUCAUGAGUCUAACAUGAGCAACAGACUGUAACGUGGAGAGUUUGAUGGCCUUCUGUUGGGUGACAGGGGUUACCAUGCCAACCUAGGCUGAUGACCCAUACCCUGACCCUGAACCAGGCCCCCAACAGAACUUCAACCGGGCUCACUGCAAGAGGAGAGCCUGGGUGGAGAUGACCAUAGACCUGCUGAAAGCCUGUUUCCAGUGUCUACAUCACCUCAGGGUGACUCCUGAGAGGCCUGUGAUAUUAUUGUGGCAUGUGUUGUUCUUCAUAAUAUUACCACUAUUAGAGGAGAGCAACACCCUGCCGUACAAUUUGAAGACCCAGAUGAUGACCUCAUCCACCUGCCAGCUAUCCAGGACAGCAGAGCAGUCAGAGACACCAUAUGCAAUAACCACUUUGGAGUUUAAGUCACCAUCAUCACCACCACAGCAGUGAAAUAAACACAUGACAUACAUUUCAUUUGGUCUUCUUUAUUUCCUACAAAUAAAAGAGCUAGUUUAGUUCAUGUUCCAGUAGUUAACAUAAUUCACCUGUGACCUGCAUCCACCUCUGACUUGUGCUCCAGUAUUUCAAUUUCCAGAUCUGCCUUCUUAAUCUGGCGGUCCAAGUACUGCAUUUCUUUAUCAGUUUUUUGUAUUUUUCUCAGCAAGUGGAUUUUGUAUAUUUGUUUUACUGGUAACUGGGAAUACAUAAAGGACAUUAAAUUAUACAGUUGCACAUGAA